rnacentral:lncRNA from 1 species
UGUGGUUCAAAAUAAGAUAGAAAAAAAUAAAAUGUAAUUUAACAAAAUACCAAACAGGGACUUAAUAUAACUUAUUAGAAUAGUAAUUUAAAUAAGUUUUUAUGUCCAAAAUUAAUUAAAACUAAAACUAGGACAUAACACUUAGAGAAUCAACCCGAAAUGGUCACGAAGUAAAUUUAAUGACCAAGUCUAUAUCUAAAUGCUCGAUAUUCCAGCAAUUGCUUCCAAUUCCUGGACCAAAGUCUUAAUAAAAUUGUUUUGGGUAUCCUUAUCAAGCAGAAACUCCUUCCAUUUCUUCUGAUUAGCUCUUAUGGACUUUCCCGGUUCUUUAUUAAUGUUAAACAUGACUGUUUCAACAGCACUCUUAAUAUCCUCUUUUGCGAAGAACCCAUCUUCAUCCCUUCUAUUGACCUCCACUCCAGACUUAAGGUCUCCAUGUACUAGCUUAGAAUUCACGAAUUGGUCGCCCUUUUGGGGCAACAUAACCAGCUGGCAGUCAUUCACAAUAGCCUCAAUCACUGAGCUGAAUCCUGCAUGACAUAAAUAACAACCCACGCUUUUGUGGGCCAAAAUCUGCUGCUGUUGGACCCACCCAGUGUGAAUUAUUCCUUUACCUUCAACUCUACCCAAGAACCCUUGAGGCAGUGCCCUCUUUAGCUCAGCUGAGACGUCAACAUUUGCAGGAAAAUUUAAGACGAGAAAAAAUGGAAGACCAGUGAGUUCUAGCCCUAAAGCUAGUUCUUUAAUUUGAUCAUCAGUUAAGAAUGUUUCACUCCCAAAAGAACAGUGAAUGACAGAGUGAGCUUCAAAUUUGUCUAACCAUUUAGCCCAUUUUUCCUCCAGGUGAUCUGGUGGAGGCUCCGGGACUACUGGGCCGACUAAAAGAACUGGUUUCUUAAACUGGGACUUGACGUAAUUUAUAUAAGGUGCUUCCAUUUCAUUACAAGUCUUGGCAAGUAUAACCGAGCAGCCCUGCAGGCCCGAGAGGACACGGUCAUACACACAAGGUUUUCCAUGAAAACGCUUGAAAAUGUAGAGAAAAUCUCGAGCCUCAAAAGUUCUGAGCGAGGUUACAGAGGUUUGAGGGAACCCCGGGGGAGGUUUUUUCAUUUCUUCAACUGUGGGAGAUCUUCCAGGUUCAGGAAGCCUAGCCGGAACAGUAACAAAUGCAGUUGAGAGAGCAAUGAACACGGAGUAGAACACUGUUUGUAUACCCAAUUCAUUGGCUAACUUAGGGAGCCAUUCUUGAGCAAAAUCAAAAAGUACAAAUUGGGGUUUGAGUUGUGAUAACAGUGUUUUUAUCUGAGGUUGCAUAAGAUCAAGAGCAACCUUGAGGAGUUCAGAUUGAGUUGGAUUCAGUUCGGCCGUGCUCUCAACGCCCGGAGGAAGACCCUCAACGUGCGGUAUAGUGAGAGGGAUUAUUUGGCUAGUGGAAGCGUCGUUGAGCAUUGACCUUAUGCGAUUAACAUUGGCCGGUGCAGAGAAGAAAGAGAUCUUGACGCUAUGAGAGGAGAGCUUGUUAGAUAGCUGAACGAAUGGACUGAUGUGACCAAAGGCAAAAAAUGGAAACAUCACAACAUGAAGACGGUUGCUCGGGGUGCUUUCCUCUGCCUCCAUCUCAAAGCGAAUUGUAUGUGCAAUGGAUUUGGAACUUGAGGCUUCUAUUUAAUAAGGGAUUUUUUUAAUCGGGCAUUAAACAUUUGGUUGUUAAAAUGCCAACGACUUGGUGGGUGGGUUCUAACUGUACGGUCGUUG